ACAGAGGGUGCAAGCGUUAAUCGGAAUUACUGGGCGUAAAGCGCACGUAGGUGGUUCGUUAAGUUGGAUGUGAAAUCCCCGGGCUCAACCUGGGAACUGCAUUCAAAACUGACGAGCUAGAGUAUGGUAGAGGGUGGUGGAAUUUCCUGUGUAGCGGUGAAAUGCGUAGAUAUAGGAAGGAACACCAGUGGCGAAGGCGACCACCUGGACUGAUACUGACACUGAGGUGCGAAAGCGUGGGGAGCAAACAGGAUUGGAUACCCUGGUAGUCCACGCCGUAAACGAUGUCAACUAGCCGUUGGGAGCCUUGAGCUCUUAGUGGCGCAGCUAACGCAUUAAGUUGACCGCCUGGGGAGUACGGCCGCAAGGUUAAAACUCAAAUGAAUU
rnacentral:rRNA from 1 species